UACGUAGGGUGCUAGCGUUGCUCGGAAUUACUGGGCGUAAAGGGCGCGUAGGCGGAUAUCUAAGUUGGGGGUGAAAUCCCGGGGCUCAACCUCGGAAUUGCCUUCAAAACUGGAUAUCUUGAGUUCGGGAGAGGUGAGUGGAACUCCGAGUGUAGAGGUGAAAUUCGUAGAUAUUCGGAAGAACACCAGUGGCGAAGGCGACUCACUGGCCCGAUACUGACGCUGAGGCGCGAAAGCGUGGGGAGCAAACAGG
rnacentral:rRNA from 1 species